UACGUAGGGGGCAAGCGUUGUCCGGAAUCAUUGGGCGUAAAGAGCGCGUAGGCGGCCCGGUAAGUCCGCUGUGAAAGUCAAAGGCUCAACCUUUGAAUGUCAGCGGAUACUGCCGGGCUAGAGUCCGGAAGAGGCGAGUGGAACUCCUGGUGUAGCGGUGAAAUGUGUAGAUAUCAAGAGGAACACCAGUGGCGAAGGCGAGUCCCUGGACAACACCUGACACUGAGGCACGAAAAGCUAGGGGGAGCAAACAGG
rnacentral:rRNA from 1 species